rnacentral:rRNA from 1 species
GAUGAACGCUGGCGGCGUGCCUAACACAUGCAAGUCGAACGGGAUGCGUAUCGGAAAGCUUCGGCCGGAAGAUACGUUAUCUAGUGGCGGACGGGUGAGUAACACGUGGGUAACCUGCCUUAUGGAGGGGGAUAACAGAGAGAAAUCACUGCUAAUACCGCAUAAGCACACAGUACCGCAUGGUACAGGGUGAAAAGAUUUAUCACCAUAAGAUGGACCCGCGUCUGAUUAGCCAGUUGGCAGGGUAAAAGCCUACCAAAGCAACGAUCAGUAGCCGAUCUGAGAGGAUGACCGGCCACAUUGGGACUGAGACACGGCCCAAACUCCUACGGGAGGCAGCAGUGGGGAAUAUUGCACAAUGGGGGAAACCCUGAUGCAGCGACGCCGCGUGAGUGAAGAAGUAUUUCGGUAUGUAAAGCUCUAUCAGCAGGGAAGAUAAUGACAGUACCUGACUAAGAAGCCCCGGCUAACUACGUGCCAGCAGCCGCGGUAAUACGUAGGGGGCAAGCGUUAUCCGGAUUUACUGGGUGUAAAGGGAGCGUAGACGGAGUGGCAAGUCUGAAGUGAAAACCCUGGGCUUAACCUGGGGACUGCUUUGGAAACUGUUAAUCUAGAGUGUUGGAGAGGUAAGUGGAAUUCCUGGUGUAGCGGUGAAAUGCGUAAAUAUCAGGAAGAACACCGGAGGCGAAGGCGGCUUACUGGACAAUAACUGACGUUGAGGCUCGAAAGCGUGGGGAUCAAACAGG